ACUGCAGUAGUUGGUGCUGUUCAUUGUUUCAUAGUGCUCAGGGCCGGAAGAGACCUAAACAGACCAUCAAGUCUGACCCCCUGCCCUGGACAGGAACGAGUGCAGGGUCAUAACCCCCCAGCCAAAUAUGUGUCCAGUCUCCUUUUGAAGACCCCACGGUAGGAGAGAGCACCACCUCACUUGGGAGUCCAUU